GGCGAUGGAUACGAGUUAGGGGUGUUACAUUUCUUAGGAGAUUAUCAUGAAUUCCUUUUUGUCUUCCGAUUAUACACUCUCUUGGAUUUAUUUAUUUUCAAGCAUGAACUAAUUUCCUAAAUACCUAGGGAGAUGAACCCUAUGAUGGAUUUCAUCGUUUGAUUUUUAUUUUACACAAUAAAUACUUAGUUUCUUACUCUCAAUUAUGCUUGCUUAAUUCUUUAUUUAAUAUUUCUAGAUUAUCAAUCCAUGUUUGAUGUACUUAAAUAGGAGGUUGAAUAGACCCUAUUUAAGAUUAGGUCUUGGU
rnacentral:lncRNA from 1 species